UACAGAGGUCUCAAGCGUUGUUCGGAUUCAUUGGGCGUAAAGGGUGCGUAGGUGGCAUGGUAAGUCGGAUGUGAAAUCCCGGGGCUCAACCCGGAACUGCAUUCGAUACUGCUGCGCUGGAGUACUGGAGAGGAGAUUGGAAUUUACGGUGUAGCAGUGAAAUGCGUAGAUAUCGUAAGGAAGACCAGUGGCGAAGGCGGAUCUCUGGACAGUUACUGACACUGAGGCACGAAGGCCAGGGGAGCAAACGGGAUUAG
rnacentral:rRNA from 1 species